rnacentral:piRNA from 1 species
UCGUGGACCAGAUAGAAGACAUGUCCUUGG